AAGUCGUAACAAGGUUUCCGUAGGUGAACCUGCGGAAGGAUCAUUAAUAAAUGGCGAAAGCUUUCUAUUAUCCAUAACACCUGUGAACUAUUUGCCUUCGGGCACCAAACCAAACACAAUGUAAUGAAUGUAAUCUACUAUAAUAAAUAUAA
rnacentral:misc_RNA from 1 species